GGGGCUGUAGCUCAGCGGUUAGAGCAGAGGACUCAUAAUCCUUUGGUCCAGGGUUCAAAUCCCUGCGGCCCUA
rnacentral:tRNA from 1 species